GGGUAGGUACUCAAGUGGUCAACGAGAUCAGACUGUAAAUCUGAUGCGCUUGCGCUUCGCAGGUUCGAAUCCUGCCCUGCCCA
rnacentral:tRNA from 1 species